UAUACCGAAAGCUGUCUUCACUACCCUAUCUACCGGCGUUGCCACCUUCAAGGAACUAUGUAUCUGCACUCCUAGAUCCCUCUGCUCUACAACACUGCCAUCCACUAUGAAGGUCCUGCCUUGGUUUGACUUACCAAAAUGCAACACAUGGUACUUAUCUACAUUGAACUCCAGUAACCAUUCCUCAGCCCACUUGCAGAAGUUUACUGAAAUUUCUGACAACCUUCUUUGCUGUCUUCCAUACCACUCACUUUAGCGUGAUCUUGGUGUCAAAUUUACUAAUCUUGCCUUCUACUUUUUCAACUUGUAUAAACUCGUAUAAACCACGAAUAGCAAUGGAUCCCUGAGGCACACUACCGGGCACAGGCUUCCCCAACUUUCCACCAUCGCCCUCUGGUCCCUUCCAUGAAGUCAACUAUCUAUCCAGCCAACUAGCUCUUCCUGAAUCUCAAGCAAUCUAAUCUUCCAGAGCAGCCUACUAUGCUGAACCUUAUCAAUUGCCUUGCUGAAGUCCAUUGAAACAACAAGUUCUCCAGGUUCAUUUAAAAAGGUUUUCAUGCUGCCGAUGAAGGAAAUUCUCCCACUGGGUAGGUAAUAUGCUUGUCAUUGGGUAGUUUUCUCCUGCGCUGUUUUUAAAUCGCCGAUAUAGUAAAUGGGAAGGAACUCGAGCUUGUUUGAAACUUUAAUCGCGAGUUGAGCGAAAUAACAUUUUGUAAUCAAAAAUAAAUUGCGCGCUGAGACUGUUUCAUCCCUUUUUCCAAAAGUAAAAGACGGUGGAUUUAUUUCCAGCCCCCAGCGAGUAUCUUCGCCAGUCAUUAGCAAUCUUAAAACUGUAUAGUCACUUAAUUUGUAAAGCUGCACCAUUUGCACACAUUUUCAAGCAAGCGUUAUUAAUUGCAACGUUUUGGGAAACGUGAAUUGUUUAUUUUUAUUUCGUUAACCCAUCUCCAGUGAAGCCCUUCCUUGGACGCACAAUGAAUUGCCUCCACUGUUGAAAUAUUCCAAGGAAAACACGAACGAUGGAGUGGCACAAAGAGAUUUCGCCAGCGCGUUCAGCUACGAUAAGUGAACUUGUUUUUAAAAGUUUGGGAGGUUUUGCACCUUCCGAUAACGUCCUUCGGGAUGACCCUGUUGGAAAUCAAACACCGUUCAGGAGAAAAGCUGCUGAAACAUAUUCAUUAGUAACCCAGCUCUCGGUUAGCCGGGGAGUGGCGGAAUGAUGCUGAGAUCGAUUUAAUGUAGCCGAUUGUCUAACGUGUGAAAAAGAGUAACAAUUCCGUCACUUCAGCUCAAGUUUCAGAUGGUCCUCUGUAAAAAAAUGAUGCUCUAAAAAUGUUCCAUGAGAGCAAAGCCAUGCAUAUACUGGUCUGAUUGCAGUAUUAAAUUUCCAGACCCUUCUUCCCUGAUAGCAGCUGACCCAAGCCACCAUGAUUACUUUUUGACAUGACAUGCAAAUGAUGCAAUUCUAAUUAUUUGGCUAUCGAACAAUGUGAAUGCACCAAAAGGUCCAGGAUGAUCAAAGACACUCAUAACCAUUCAGCAACAGAAACUUUGGCAAUUACCUGCUAGAGGGAGGAGUUCGUCCCCUGCCAAAGCCAUUGUGUGAUGCAGCAGUCUGCUAGUUCUGAGAUGAUCCAUCUACAGUGGCGGACUGGGUCUAAAAAUAUUGGUUGCCAGGAGACAAAGGGGGCCCACUUCAUCAGGGGCCCACUUGAUAUAGGGGGCCCACUUCAUCAGGGGCCCACUUGCCAUCGGGCAAGCUGACACCCUGGCCAGUCCGCCACUGUCCACCUAUGACUCUCUACCAUGCUAAUAUGUUUGGAGCCAAGCUCCCAUCAAAUGAAUGAGAUGGCUGAAGGAGCUGGUGAAGUGGUUUAUCAAUAAUGUUUAAACAAUAAAAUAUUUUUGUUUAAAAUAAACCACAUUCCAACCUAAAUAUCCAUGUGAAAUAUUAACAACUACUUGAAGCAACUUUAAUCUGUUUUUAGCAAGCUUUUGUUUAGUCUGUUUUGGUAUCUUGAAAAGCCAACCUUGGAUAGUAAAAGCCGCCAAUCUGAUAAUUUGGUCUGAACUUACAUUAUAUUGUACCGUGUGAUUUGAACUGAAGUGGCAAUGGUUUUGAUUUCAGGCUGUCAAAAUAGAGUACUAGAACCUUCAUGCAAUUUAAAUUCAUAACAGAUGCUUCAAAGUUUUAUGGACUGCAUUGUAAUGUUUUACAGCUUUGCAGAGAGAUUGCCAUUAAAGUUGUGUAUUGGUCUUUCUAUCAAGUAUUUGUUAACCAUUUGUAGUUAAUGCUAGUAUACA